rnacentral:misc_RNA from 1 species
AAGUCGUAACAAGGUAUCUGUAGGUGAACCUGCAGAUGGAUCAUCUUUGUAUAAUCCAAACCCAGCCUCACUCUCUCUCCGGGAGAGAGGUUCGGGGGAGAGGUGUCGCUCCGCACCUCUCAAAAAUAAACUAAAUUGGGCAAUCUUCCACAAACACGGUUGCAUCGGUCGGGUCUCUGCUGUCCAACAGUGCCUCACGGCGCUGGGAAAAUGGCAGCGCCCCGACAAAAAUUUACACAACACACGCUAAUCUUUAGUCGUUGAAAAAUAAUCUUUAUGAUUGACACGAUUCGGUAACACGGUCGUAUAAUCUAAAACACAACUUUUGGCAACGGAUCUCUUGGUUCUCC